rnacentral:rRNA from 1 species
GAAGUCAAUUAUUACUUAACAUACACAUGCAAGUAUCCGCCCCCCUGUGAGAACGCCCUUUAACCCCUUAUAGGGACAAGGAGCCGGUAUCAGGCACAACAAUCUGCCCAAAACACCUAGCAAUGCCACACCCACAAGGGUAUACAGCAGUGAUUAACAUUGAGCAUUAGCGUAAGCUUGACUCAGUUAAAGUAAAAUAGAGCCGGCUAAUCUGGUGCCAGCCGCCGCGGUCACACCACGUGGCUCAAAUUGACCACUAACGGCGUAAAGCGUGAUUAAAGCCCUCCCCCGUCAUUAGAGUUAAACUAAAAUUAAGCUGUGACACGCCUAUUAAUUAAGAAACCCAAACACGAAAGUUACUCUAACCUAACCAACUUGAAU